UUUUAAUUAUUAUAUAUAUAUUUUUUUGAGACAGGGUCUCGCUCCAUCAUCCAGGCUGGAGUAUAAUGGCACCAUCUCAGCUCACUGUAACCUCUGCCUCCCAGGUUCAAGCAAUUCUCCUGCUUCAGCCUCCCAAGCAGCUGGGAUUAUAGGCACACGCCACCAGGUCCAGCUAAUUUUUGUAUUCUUAGUAGAGAUGGGGUUUCACCAUGUUGGCCAGGCUGGUCUUGAACUCCUGACCAAGUGAUCUGCCUGCCUUGGCCUCUCAAAGUACUGAGACUACAGGUGUAAGCCACCAUGCCCUGGAGGGGCGUGUGGUUUGCUCCUGGCAUCCACUUGGUGAAUCUCCUCCAGAGAUUCUGUGAAACAUGUGUGAUGGCAGGACAGCCCCCACAACCACAAGUUAUCGGGUUCAUGCGGUCAACAGUGUCUUCCAUUUAUGCUAGAUGUUUCUGUUUUCCAAGACUGCUCUGUCUGAGAUGGCAGAUGGAGUUUUCAUACUUACUUGGCUAACCUGUCAGUACCCUGGGGUCUAAUUCCUAUGCCUGGAGAGAACUGGAAGUCCUUGAACACACGGCUCAAUGAUGUGGGCUCUGCUCAUUUAUAUACAUUUAUUUUUAAAUUUAAUAUAUAUUUUAGUUUUUUUAUUUCC
rnacentral:lncRNA from 10 species